UGAAACUUAAUUGAUCUCUUCGGAGUGAAAUUAAGUGGAUUAGUGGCGGACGGGUGAGUAACGCGUGAGUAACCUGCCUUAGAGAUGGGGAUAGCCUCUGGAAACGGAGAAUAAUACCCAAUGAUACCAAGCUAUCGCAUGGUAGCCUGGUCAAAGAUUUAUCGCUCUAAGAUGGACUUGCGUCUGAUUAGCUAGUUGGUGAGAUAAUGGCUCACCAAGGCAACGAUCAGUAGCCGGCUUGAGAGAGUGUACGGCCACAUUGGGACUGAGACACGGCCCAGACUCCUACGGGAGGCAGCAGUGGGGAAUUUUGCACAAUGGGGGAAACCCUGAUGCAGCGACGCCGCGCGAUUUAGAAGGCCUUCGGGUUGUAAAAAUCUUUUGUAUAGGAAGAAAAUGACAGUACUAUACGAAUAAGGACCGGCUAAUUACGUGCCAGCAGCCGCGGUAAUACGUAUGGGGCGAGCGUUGUCCGGAAUUAUUGGGCGUAAAGGGUACGUAGGCGGAAAUGCAAGUCAGGUGUAAAAGGCAGUAGCUUAACUACUGUAAGCAUUUGAAACUGCAUAUCUUGAGAAGAGUAGAGGUAAGUGGAAUUUUUAGUGUAGCGGUGAAAUGCGUAGAUAUUAAAAAGAAUACCGGUGGCGAAGGCGACUUACUGGGCUCAUUCUGACGCUGAGGAACGAAAGCGUGGGUAGCAAACAGGAUUAGAUACCCUGGUAGUCCACGCUGUAAACGAUGAGUGCUAGGUAUCGGAAUAAUUCGGUGCCGCAGUUAACACAUUAAGCACUCCGCCUGGGGAGUACGUGCCAGC
rnacentral:rRNA from 1 species